GACGAACGCUGGCGGCGUGCUUAACACAUGCAAGUCGAACGGAGUGGCGAACGGGUGAGUAUUACGUGAGUAACCUGCCCUCAACUGUGGGAUAAGCCUGGGAAACUGGGUCUAAUACUGCAUAGUUGGGGAUGGGCUCGCGGCCUAGAAGCUUGUUGGUGGGGUGAUGGCCUACCAAGGCGGUGACGGGUGGCCGGCCUGAGAGGGUGGUGGGCCACAUUAGGGGGGAGAUACGGCACAGAAUCCUACGGGGGGCAGCAGGGGGGGAUAUGGCACAAGAGGCGCAAGCCUGAUGCAGGGACGCCGCGUGAGGGAUGAAGGGUUUCGGGUUGUAAACCUCGUGCGGUACAGAACGGGUAUGUGCAGAAGAAGCGCCGGCUAACUACGUGCCAGCAGCCGCGGUAAUUC
rnacentral:rRNA from 1 species